UUAUUUUUUAGAGGAGGUACUGGGGAUUGAACCCAGGACCUUGUGCAUGCUAAACACAUGCUUUACCACUGAGCUAUAUACUCCCCCUUUGAUAUUUUUAAAGUUAAAAUUAAAUCUAUCUAGAUAGAUAAAACAUAAUCUGAGUGGAUCAGAGACUGGAAGGAGGUCCCACCCUGAAUCCCCGGGAAUUAGCUGGAAUUGGUCAAAGGCUACAUUGUGUGGUGUGAAAAUCAGGACGUGUGGAAAAAGGGGAGGGGGACACCAAAACACCCACGCCCCAGGGCCCACUAUAAAAAGCACAUUUGAAAACACCAGACUGGAAACGUUUUUUUUUUUAUUAUUAUUAUUUUUUUAAAUAGCAAAAGCUCGUCCCCCCAGGAGGCGUGUUGCAGCUGCGGCCGUGACAGUUCCCAGGUGAUGUCAGUCCUGGCCCAGUGCCAGCCCCGGCCCCUUGGAGACGGUCUUAUAAUGUCCUCUGUACCAUUACACCCCUGCAGGACAGGAUCCAGCCCAGAGGCGUGCUACAUUUUGCUGUCCAGGUCGACUUUUGAUAUCACGUCCACAGGAGGAGCUUCAUAAAAUGGAAGAGGCCUGGGCCACUGAGGGGAACUUCAUGUGGUAGAGGAGCCUGGGGCUGGAGGCAGGGGCCCUGCAUUCUCAGCCCUGCUCAGCUCCAAAUGCUGUGCAAUUCUGGCCCAUUGCUGUCCCUAUCUGGGCUUUGGUUUCCCCAUUGCCAUGGACGACCUCUGAGGCCUUCCCACUUGCAAUUGUGGAACUAGGGAAGAGAGCCCUGAGUGGCGAUCAGGGAGACCUGGGCUCCCAGUGGCCCAGGAGAGCCUUGCUGGGGAACCUUGGGCAGUUUGCUUCAUCUGUAUUGGCUCAGCUUCUCACUGUGAAAUGACUGAGUCUGAGAUCCUUCUUGUGCUGAUGCUCCUUGUGUCUAAGAGUUUGGGUGGAAGGUGUGACCUGAUAUUUAAGCCUCCCCCCUUCAGGGUCCCAGGUGGCCUGGCUGAAGCUGCUCAUUCUACCCUCCUCAGCCCUGGGUUUCUUCUGCCUGAGCAACUUUACUCCUCUGGCCCCAAGUCGGCCCCUGCUCAGGCAGCCUGCAGAAGCCUGGCUGGGCUGGCCCAUCCUGAAGGUGGAAGGUGUGUGUGUUGGGGGCAGGGAUGUUAGGCAAAUGGCCCCAGAGGUCCUGGUGCACAGCUGUGCCAGGUCAUGUGUAUUGGGCUGGCCUUGUAGCUCACAAGGGGUCUGAGACAUUAACUAUCCCCCACUCAGGAACCAGGCUCAGGGAAGACAGCAAGCAGCAAAAUGUGCAGA